CCUACGGGAGGCAGCAGUGGGGGAUAUUGCACAAUGGGGGAAACCCUGAUGCAGCGACGCCGCGUGAGUGAAGAAGUAUUUCGGUAUGUAAAGCUCUAUCAGCAGGGAAGAAAAUGACAGUACCUGACCAAGAAGCCCCGGCUAACUACGUGCCAGCAGCCGCGGUAAUACGUAGGGGGCAAGCGUUAUCCGGAUUUACUGGGUGUAAAGGGAGCGUAGACGGUUAUGUAAGUCUGGAGUGAAAGCCCGGGGCCCAACCCCGGGACUGCUUUGGAAACUGUGUAACUGGAGUACAGGAGGGGCAGGCGGAAUUCCUGGUGUAGCGGUGAAAUGCGUAGAUAUCAGGAGGAACACCAGUGGCGAAGGCGGCUUACUGGACUGUAACUGACGUUGAGGCUCGAAAGCGUGGGGAGCAAACAGGAUUAGAUACACCGGUAGUC
rnacentral:rRNA from 1 species